UACGGAGGGUGCAAGCGUUGUUCGGAAUUAUUGGGCGUAAAGCGCGCGCAGGCGGGGGGCUAAGUCUGAUGUGAAAUCCCUCGGCUCAACCGAGGACGUGCAUUGUAUACUGGCUAUCUUGAGUCCUGGAGAGGGGAGCGGAAUUCCCAGUGUAGAGGUGAAAUUCGUAGAUAUUGGGAGGAACACCAGUGGCGAAGGCGGCUUCCUGGACAGUGACUGACGCUGAGGCGCGAAAGCGUGGGUAGCAAACAGG
rnacentral:rRNA from 1 species